CCGGGAAAUGGAGUCCGCGAUGGCGGGGCUGCUCGCUGGGCUCCAGAGCUGAGGUGCAAGUCCUAUAAACAGGGUCAGGCCUUUGCAGCCUGCAGGAAGGCUGGAAUAGCCUUGUAAUGAGAAGCUGACAUCCUAGCUGCAGCUCUGCUGCUCUACAGUGAGGGCCCGGUGAUGGAUGAAAGGGGAGGCACCUUGUCUGCAGAAGAAGGGCUGUAUCUUAUGUUUCCGACUGCUGUGACAUCAGUGCUUCCAUCUUCCAACAGUCUAGUUGAUGUCUUCUGGCACAAAGAAUAACAGAAAAAGAAAAAAAGCUAACCAGAAAUGAACAAUAAGGACUGAAAGAUUGUUUCAUUCUUCUUUGCACUUUGCUGAGCUGAGAUUCUAGCAGACAUAUGAGAAAUACUGUUCAAAAUGCUUGCUGUAAACUCGUGUCCCAUUCAUCUCUGUAAACUGCAGCUUGCAACAGAGCUCAAGCACAGAGUACUGCACAGCUACACAGGGUGCUGCUAAAAUCUGGCAGCCCUGUCUUCUCUGACAGAUGCAGACUGGUGAUGAACUGAAAGGCUGCUCCAAGAUAACACUCAAGUUUGUAAUAAUGGAAAAAAAAAAAAAAGUGAUUAAGUAUUAAGCUUUCUCCUAUUAAUUCUUUUUAGAUUUCUCUUACACUUUUUACAUGAGAGAGAAUUUGAAUGACUACUGAUGUUGUAAGCUGCUAUCUUUCUAGUUAUUUAAGGUGCAAAUAGCUUAGUAGGUUUCUUAUUGACUGUGCUAGCUUUCCAGAUGCUAAAGCUCAUUCCAGCAAGUUAGCAGUCACUUCCUAAAGAGCAGAAUGAUAGUUUAGAAAAGCAGCCAGAGUUCGAUUUCCCAGAGUCUGACACAGUGCAGGUCCAUCUUUGUAAUCCGCUGGGACUCUGCUCGUCUGACCCAGAGGGCAGAGCAUCAUCUACCCAUCUUCAAGAGCAAGGCGAUGACAUCAAAGCAGAGCUCUGCUUCCUUAAUGGCUUCUUUGAAGCUGCAGCAGCAGAGAAGGCAAAAUACAGCAGCUCCCUCUCUCCUUCUGAAGAAAAGAGCACAGCACGGCUCUCCAGAAAUGACAUACAUAAAGGCAGAGAAAUUGAACAUAAUUUUAUGGAAUAUGCUGCCUUUGGGGAGUUCCUAUUUCUGCUGAGUGACCUUAUUUGUCCCUGAAGUUUUAAUUGUAAAGCUGCGCUCUGCUUUUGAUGGUGCUUUCUUUCAGUACAGGUGGGGAAAUCUUGUGCUGCCUCCUCUACCUUUCCAGUCCUUGUAUUGUAACUUGUACAAGCAAAAAUUGAUGCCUCCCUCAGUACCUCUGUGAUUUCCAUGUAAAGGAAUAUACCAUGGGAAAAACAACUGAGAAAACUGAGUAAAGACUGGAUGAGGCCCCCCUGUUCAUUAUGAAGCUCAUUUAGGCUUUAUUCAUACUGUUUCAGUGAUCUCUUUCUGCAAAAAACAGCAAGUUUGCUAGUAUAUGUGACUGCCAAAAUGGACACUGGCUGAAGAUCACAAAAUGUUGGUGAAACGUAUUACUGAAUUCUUAUCUUAUUUAUGCAAGUUUAUUGUCUGAUUUACAUCAGUGCAAUUGAGUUGAAAAAAAAACCCAGUGAAGACACACGAUCAAUCUAUCAGAAUACUUCAUUUUUAAAUUCAGACAGCUGGCAGCAAGCUACUUACUAACUCACUUCCUUCAGCUACUUACUAACAAAUCUCCAAAUGGGAAUUAUUGUUGAAAUGAAUAUUUGAAUAGUUUUGUAUAAUAUAUUGAGAAAUUACCACUGUUUGCAACAUAUUUCAAAGCAGAAGGAGAAUAAAUUAAUUUUAUGUUAUAUUCCUUAUGUAAAAGCCCUUGGCCCUAAUAAGCAUUUCAUACUGGUCUUUUUUUUCAUGACAAGACUUACCUAAAGUAGAAAUAAUAUAAGGAACUUAAGGGAAUGUUCUACUAAGUGCUUUGCCUUAAGAAAUAAGUACUAAGCCAUCAAAAUAAAGGACCUCUGUUACUUAGUGUAGGUCUGCUCUAGUUUAUAUUCAAAGGUAAAUCAGCUGCUGAUAUUCCUCUCACCAAAUCAUAAUGUUCUGUGUAUUUUUAGUAUCAUCUUUACUCAUUUAUAGCGUUUUAUUAUCCCACAGUAAAAUGGUUAGAACUUAUUUUCAGAACUGAAGAAAACGUUCACUUUUCUCCCCAGUUGUGUUUCACCCUGGUAUAGUCUACUGAUUCAAUGCAGAAAUGCACUGCUUGUUCAAAAUAGCCUCUCGAGUUCUGUUUAUACCUGCAGACUUUAGUCUGGUUGAGCUACCAUUUGCCUGGGGUGCAAGUUAUAUGAAGGUCUGGGCAACAGCUCCUAGCUUGAUCCACAACCAGCCUUGUAAAGCCAUCACUUCAAUUAACAGCCGAGGAACUACCUGCCCAAUGGCAUCACAAGCACUUAAAGAUUACUUUGAAUACUGUGAUAUUUGUAUGCCAGUAAAACAUAAUAUUUCUGUGCUUUUCAUAGCUUCAUACAUGAGGAUACUGAUGCACUGGCAUACUGCAUUUCUAAGUGGAGCUCCUAAUGGCAGAAUAGAUGUAGCACAUAUUCUUUUGUGCAUUUAGUGCCCCAGCUUUACCUUCACUGAUGAAGGCUGAAUGUGAAAUAAACCCACUAACUAUUUGGUAAUGUUACAUUUUUGUUUUUCUUUGAAUACACCUAAUUGUGCACUGCAAACCAAACCUACUUGUAAUUUUCUUGGGCUUUUGUAAUUUGUUAUUGACUUUUAUAGAUUAUUCAAUAAACUCAAAUUGCUUUUUGUCUUA